GAGACGCUGGCGGCGUGCUUAACACAUGCAAGUCUACGAGAAAGUUUGGUCUCGGCUGAACGAGUAAAGUGGCGAACGGGUGAGUAACACGUAGGUAACCUGCCCCCGGGUUUGGGAUAACUUCGCGAAAGCGGAGCUAAUACCGAAUAAUGCAGCGGACUCUCAUGAGUAUGUUGUUAAAGUGGGCUUCGGCUCACGCCUGAGGAUGGACCUGCGUCCCAUUAGCUUGUUGGUAAGGUAACGGCUUACCAAGGCGACGAUGGGUAGCCGGCCUGAGAGGGUGUCCGGCCACAUUGGCACUGGAACACGGGCCAGACUCCUACGGGAGGCAGCAGUGAGGAAUAUUGCGCAAUGGGCGAAAGCCUGACGCAGCAACGCCGCGUGAGCGAUGAAGGCCUUCGGGUUGUAAAGCUCUGUCAGCGGGGACGAAUCCCCUUCCGGGUAAAUAGUCCGGAAGACUGACGGUACCCGCAAAGGAAGCCCCGGCUAACUUCGUGCCAGCGGCCGCGGUAAUAC
rnacentral:rRNA from 1 species